GACAGAGGGUGCAAACGUUGUUCGGAAUUACUGGGCGUAAAGUGUGCGCAGGUGGCUUCGCAAGUCGAGUGUGAAAUCCCCGGGCUUAACCUGGGAAUUGCGCUCGAAACUACGGAGCUGGAGUAUGGCAGAGGGAGGUGGAAUUCCACGUGUAGCGGUGAAAUGCGUAGAGAUGUGGAGGAACACCAAUGGCGAAGGCAGCCUCCUGGGCCAAUACUGACACUCAUGCACGAAAGCGUGGGGAGCAAACAGG
rnacentral:rRNA from 1 species